AAGCUCCAAAUCUUCAGAAGACCACAAAUACAUGGUUCACAAACAAUUCCUGAAUCAGAUAUCAGACUCAUCAGAAGAAGGUGGUUCAGGGACUUGGGGGCUGAUCUGAAGAUUACAUACUGUGAGACAUACUGCUCUGUUAUGAACCCCAAGCAUGAGCUUGGGCAAGUCACUCCAGGACGGCACAGAAGUUACUGCAGACAAGCAAGCUACUGGAUAUGAACUGAACUCUGGGAGAAACUAUGCUCUUUUAAACUUCCUCCACAAAAACUUGGGAUACAGCAUUUCAAUUCACACUUGCAGGAAAGUCUUACGAGUUGUGAUAACUUUCCCGGAUGUGAACUAUUUGCAAGGGAAGAAGAAUAGCCCCUGGAUGUCAGCUGGUUUACAGGUUGUUCUGCCAGCGAUGGAACUAUCUCACAAAAUAAACCAU